UACGUAGGUGGCAAGCGUUGUCCGGAUUUACUGGGCGUAAAGAGCGCGCAGGCGGUCGUUCAAGUCGCGUGUGAAAGCCCCCGGCUCAACUGGGGAGGGUCACGCGAUACUGAUCGACUCGAAGGCAGGAGAGGGUAGUGGAAUUCCCGGUGUAGUGGUGAAAUGCGUAGAUAUCGGGAGGAACACCAGUGGCGAAGGCGACUACCUGGCCCAUUCUUGACGCUGAGGCACGAAAGCUAGGGAGCGAACGGG
rnacentral:rRNA from 1 species